AGAAUCAACGCUGGCGGCGUGCCUCAGACAUGCAAGUCGAACGAUUAAAGCUCUCUUCGGAGAGUGUAUAGAGUGGCGCACGGGUGAGUAACACGUAAGUAAUCUACCCUCGAGUGGGAAAUAACAACCGGAAACGGUUGCUAAUACCGCAUAAUGCAGCGGCACCGCAAGGUGACAGUUGUUAAAGAUUUAUCGCUUGAGGAGGAGCUUGCGGCAGAUUAGCUAGUUGGUAGGGUAACGGCUUACCAAGGCUACGAUCUGUAACCGGUCUAAGAGGGCGGUCGGUCACACUGACACUGAAUAACGGGUCAGACUCCUACGGGAGGCAGCAGUCGGGAAUUUUGGGCAAUGGGCGGAAGCCUGACCCAGCAACGCCGCGUGAAGGAUGAAGUAUUUCGGUAUGUAAACUUCGAAAGAAUAGGAAGAAUUAAUGACGGUACUAUUUAUAAGGUCCGGCUAACUACGUG
rnacentral:rRNA from 1 species